UNUGGUUGCUACUGUAUUUGUACACAUGAA
rnacentral:piRNA from 1 species